rnacentral:rRNA from 1 species
UACGGAGGGGGCCAGCGUUGUUCGGAAUCAUUGGGCGUAAAGGGCGCGUAGGCGGCUUUGUAAGUCCGUUGUGAAAUCCCUCGGCUCAACCGAGGAACUGCGACGGAUACUGCUUGGCUUGAGUCCCGGAGAGGGUAGCGGAAUUCCCAGUGUAGCGGUGAAAUGCGUAGAUAUUGGGAGGAACAUCGGUGGCGAAGGCGGCUACCUGGACGGGUACUGACGCUGAGGAGCGAAAGUGUGGGGAGCGAACAGG